rnacentral:lncRNA from 1 species
UAAAGUUCCUCUUGCCUUUCAACAUGGUUGUUUAUAGACAGGCAAACAGAAACUUUUUUUUUUUAAUUUAGACUUUAAAAACUGAAAUAGUCGAGAUUGCUUCCCUACAGAACAAUAUGUAAAUAUCUACAAUUUUUUUCUCUUUCCUCUUCCAAAGUAAAACAAAGGAAAACAAAUACAUUGGCCAAGUCUUCUGGGUUGUAUUGAAUUCAACAUCUUAUGAAACUAGGGUUGAGUUUUCCGAAAGUACAUUGGAGGUCUUUGAUAAAACUUAUUCUCUUGGCAUAAGGGGACAAGACAGUUGAGACAAACAAAGAGGAGCUUUGGGAAGGAUGCAAUUUUGGGGAAAUCUGGGGUUGUGGAGAACCCUGGGGAGCUGAAAUGGAGGGGCAGUGGUUUCAUGAGGUAGGAGAGGGGACAGUUGUUAGAUUUUUUUUUGCUGGCUUGAUGUUGCCCUUGACCUUGUUUGGAGUCAUCAUCAUGAGGAGAUUCUGACAUGUCUAACGCUAAAAUAACUUUAUUGCCUGUGUCCCGCAAAGUCAGCACCCCUGGAGUUUAGGGUGUGAUAACUGAUACAAGGUUGAAGAAGUUUGAAAAAAAUGUUUCUGCACUUGAAUUCCCUGCAAUGUCCUAAGGUUAUUUAUCAAGAUCACCUUGCUGUGUAAUCUUCUGUCACCUGUGUGUGGUGGCAGAGUUUCU